GUUUGAUUCUGGCUCAGGAUGAACGCUAGCUACAGGCUUAACACAUGCAAGUCGAGGGGCAGCAUGGUCUUAGCUUGCUAAGGCCGAUGGCGACCGGCGCACGGGUGAGUAACACGUAUCCAACCUGCCGUCUACUCUUGGACAGCCUUCUGAAAGGAAGAUUAAUACAAGAUGGCAUCAUGAGUCCGCAUGUUCACAUGAUUAAAGGUAUUCCGGUAGACGAUGGGGAUGCGUUCCAUUAGAUAGUAGGCGGGGUAACGGCCCACCUAGUCUUCGAUGGAUAGGGGUUCUGAGAGGAAGGUCCCCCACAUUGGAACUGAGACACGGUCCAAACUCCUACGGGAGGCAGCAGUGAGGAAUAUUGGUCAAUGGGCGAGAGCCUGAACCAGCCAAGUAGCGUGAAGGAUGACUGCCCUAUGGGUUGUAAACUUCUUUUAUAAAGGAAUAAAGUCGGGUAUGGAUACCCGUUUGCAUGUACUUUAUGAAUAAGGAUCGGCUAACUCCGUGCCAGCAGCCGCGGUAAUACGGAGGAUCCGAGCGUUAUCCGGAUUUAUUGGGUUUAAAGGGAGCGUAGAUGGAUGUUUAAGUCAGUUGUGAAAGUUUGCGGCUCAACCGUAAAAUUGCAGUUGAUACUGGAUAUCUUGAGUGCAGUUGAGGCAGGCGGAAUUCGUGGUGUAGCGGUGAAAUGCUUAGAUAUCACGAAGAACUCCGAUUGCGAAGGCAGCCUGCUAAGCUGCAACUGACAUUGAGGCUCGAAAGUGUGGGUAUCAAACAGGAUUAGAUACCCUGGUAGUCCACACGGUAAACGAUGAAUACUCGCUGUUUGCGAUAUACUGCAAGCGGCCAAGCGAAAGCGUUAAGUAUUCCACCUGGGGAGUACGCCGGCAACGGUGAAACUCAAAGGAAUUGACGGGGGCCCGCACAAGCGGAGGAACAUGUGGUUUAAUUCGAUGAUACGCGAGGAACCUUACCCGGGCUUAAAUUGCAGAUGAAUUACGGUGAAAGCCGUAAGCCGCAAGGCAUCUGUGAAGGUGCUGCAUGGUUGUCGUCAGCUCGUGCCGUGAGGUGUCGGCUUAAGUGCCAUAACGAGCGCAACCCUUGUUGUCAGUUACUAACAGGUUCCGCUGAGGACUCUGACAAGACUGCCAUCGUAAGAUGUGAGGAAGGUGGGGAUGACGUCAAAUCAGCACGGCCCUUACGUCCGGGGCUACACACGUGUUACAAUGGGGGGUACAGAGGGCCGCUACCACGCGAGUGGAUGCCAAUCCCCAAAACCUCUCUCAGUUCGGACUGGAGUCUGCAACCCGACUCCACGAAGCUGGAUUCGCUAGUAAUCGCGCAUCAGCCACGGCGCGGUGAAUACGUUCCCGGGCCUUGUACACACCGCCCGUCAAGCCAUGGGAGCCGGGGGUACCUGAAGUGCGUAACCGCGAGGAGCGCCCUAGGGUAAAACUGGUGACUGGGGCUAAGUCGUAACAAGGUAUCC
rnacentral:rRNA from 1 species